CCCACCCGUGUCCUUAUUUGUACCUUCGUUUGCUUCGGUGCGCCCGCCUCACGGCCGCCGGGGGGCUUCUGCCCCCGGGUCCGCGCGCACCGGAGACACCAUUGAACUCUGUCUGAAGUUGCAGUCUGAGCAUAAACUAAAUAAGUUAAAACUUUCAACAACGGAUCUCUUGGUUCCGGCAUCGAUGAAGAACGCAGCGAAAUGCGAUAACUAAUGUGAAUUGCAGAAUUCAGUGAAUCAUCGAGUCUUUGAACGCACAUUGCGCCCCCUGGUAUUCCGGGGGGCAUGCCUGUCCGAGCGUCAUUGCUGCCCUCAAGCACGGCUUGUGUGUUGGGCUCCGUCCCCCCGGGGACGGGUCCGAAAGGCAGCGGCGGCACCGAGUCCGGUCCUCGAGCGUAUGGGGCUUUGUCACCCGCUCUGUAGGCCCGGCCGGCGCCAGCCGACAACCAAUCAUCCUUUUCAGGUUGACCUCGGAUCAGGUAGGGAUACCCGCUGAACUUAAGCAUAUCAAUAAGCGGAGGAAAAGAAACCAACAGGGAUUGCCUCAGUAACGGCGAGUGAAGCGGCAAGAGCUCAAAUUUGAAAGCUGGCUCCUUCGGGGUCCGCAUUGUAAUUUGCAGAGGAUGUUUCGGGAGCAGCCCCCAUCUAAGUGUCCUGGAACGGACCGUCAUAGAGGGUGAGAAUCCCGUAUGGGAUGGGGUGUCUGCGCCCAUGUGAAACUCCUUCGACGAGUCGAGUUGUUUGGGAAUGCAGCUCUAAAUGGGUGGUAAAUUUCAUCUAAAGCUAAAUAUUGGCCGGAGACCGAUAGCGCACAAGUAGAGUGAUCGAAAGAUGAAAAGCACUUUGAAAAGAGAGUUAAAAAGCACGUGAAAUUGUUGAAAGGGAAGCGCUUGCGAUCAGACUCGCCUUGGGGGUUCAGCCGGCAUUCGUGCCGGUGUACUUCCCCCAGGGCGGGCCAGCGUCGGUUUGGGUGGCCGGUCAAAGGCCCUUGGAAAUGUAACGCC
rnacentral:sRNA from 1 species